UACGAAGGGGGCUAGCGUUGCUCGGAAUCACUGGGCGUAAAGGGUGCGUAGGCGGGUCUUUAAGUCUGGGGUGAAAUCCUGGAGCUCAACUCCAGAACUGCCUUUGAUACUGAGGAUCUUGGGUUCGGGAGAGGUGAGUGGAACUGCGAGUGUAGAGGUGAAAUUCGUAGAUAUUCGCAAGAACACCAGUGGCGAAGGCGGCUCACUGGCCCGAUACUGACGCUGAGGCACGAAAGCGUGGGGAGCAAACAGG
rnacentral:rRNA from 1 species